GGCUGAAAUUCGCCUUCAUGAAGCCGGAAUUGCUAGUAAUGGCAGGUCAGCAUACUGCCGUGAAUACGUUCCCGGGCCUUGUACACACCGCCCGUCACACCAUGGGAGUCGGUAACACCCGAAGUCUGUAGCCUGACGCAAGAGGGCGCAGCCGAAGGUGGGAUUGAUGACUGGGGUGAAGUCGUAACAAGGUAGC
rnacentral:rRNA from 1 species